ACGCUCGACACCUACGGGAGCAGCAGUGAGGAAUAUUGGUCAAUGGGCGCUAGCCUGAACCAGCCAAGUAGCGUGAAGGAUGAAGGCUCUAUGGGUCGUAAACUUCUUUUAUAUAAGAAUAAAGUGCAGUAUGUAUACUGUUUUGUAUGUAUUAUAUGAAUAAGGAUCGGCUAACUCCGCGCCAGCAGCCGCGGUAAUCUGAGCGGGCGUGGCGAAGGC
rnacentral:rRNA from 1 species